CAGGACUCUAUUUCCUCCCUGUUUCCCCUCAUAGGAUUCUGUUUCCUCCCUAUUUCCCCUUAUUGGACUCUAUUUCCUCCCUAUUUCCUCUCAUAGGAUUCUGUUUCCUCCCUAUUUCCCCUCAUAGGAUUCUAUUUCCUCUCUAUUUCCCCUUGUUGGGUUCUAUUUCCUGUCUAUUCCCAUUUUUUGGCCUAUUUCCACAUUCUACUCCCCCUUCCUCUUCCAUUUCCUCUUCUAUUCCCAUUGUAUUCCCACUUCCUCUUCCGUUUCCCCCCUCCACCCCCA
rnacentral:lncRNA from 1 species